AACGAACGCUGGCGGCAGGCUUAACGCAUGCAAGUCGAGCGCCUUGGCAACAAGGAGCGGCAGACGGGUGAGUAACGCGUGGGAAUCUACCCAUCUCUACGGAAUAACUCAGGGAAACUUGUGCUAAUACCGUAUACGCCCUUAGGGGGAAAGAUUUAUCGGAGAUGGAUGAGCCCGCGUUGGAUUAGCUAGUUGGUGGGGUAAAGGCCUACCAAGGCGACGAUCCAUAGCUGGUCUGAGAGGAUGAUCAGCCACAUUGGGACUGAGACACGGCCCAAACUCCUACGGGAGGCAGCAGUGGGGAAUAUUGGACAAUGGGCGCAAGCCUGAUCCAGCCAUGCCGCGUGAGUGAUGAAGGCCCUAGGGUUGUAAAGCUCUUUCACCGGAGAAGAUAAUGACGGUAUCCGGAGAAGAAGCCCCGGCUAACUUCGUGCCAGCCGCCGCCGUAA
rnacentral:rRNA from 1 species